rnacentral:tRNA from 2 species
GCGGGCUUAGUUCAGCGGUAGAAUGUCUCCUUGCCAAGGAGAAGGUCAAGGGUUCGAAUCCCUUAGCCCGCU